CAUGGAAGUCGAAAUCCGCUAAGAAGUGUGUAACAACUUACCUGCCGAAUGAACCAGCCCUGAAAAUGGAUGGCAGUGCAGCGCGCCGAUACCAGGCCAUUAUCGCAAGUUUUCAGCAGUGGACGUUGCGCGAUGAUGAGUAGGAAGACAUGGGGAUCGUAGCGAAGCAUUCGGCGUGAGCCUAUGUGGAACGGUCUCUAGUGCAGAUCUUGGUGGCAGUAGCAAAUAUUCAAAUGAGAACUUUGAAGACUGAAGUGGAGAAGGGUUCCAUGUGAACUGCAAUUGGAUAUGGGUUAGCCGGUCCUGAGCAAAAACUUAAUUGCGGGAAAUUCGGGGUUGUAUUGUCCUCGUAUUUUGCGAAAGGGAGUCAGGAUAAUAUUCCUGAGCCAGGACGUGGAUACUGCACGGCAACUUGAAUGAACUCCUCGACGCAGGCGGGUGCCCCGGGAAGCGCUGUCUUUGCUUUUUAACAGCCACGUUAUAAACAUACCCUUGAAUCAGAGUAUCUGGAGAUAGGGUUGACUGGUUGAUAAAGCUUCCUGGCUUCCAGGGAGUGCGGUGUGCUUCUGAUUGCCCUUGAAAAGAGGGGGGUAAGUUAUUUACACCCUUGGCCUUACCAUUAACCGCAUCAGGUCUCCAAAGUUAGCAGCCGCUGGUCGAUCGACGAAAGUAAAUAAGGGAAGCCGGCAAAAUGGAUCCGUAACUUCGGGAAAAGGAUUGGCUCUGAGUGCUCGGUGAAUAGCGCCAGUGUCUUCAUCGUCGGUCAGAGCUGCGCCGGCUCGUUUGUGCUGCGCGGCGCGUCUGCAGAUCGCUGGUGCUGACUGCAAUGUGACCACUGGUCUGCGUACACAGUGAGCAGCUAAAUCAGAACUGGUGCGAACAAGUGGAAUCCGACUGUUUAAUUUAAACACAACAUUUGCGCAAACGUUCCUAACGCAACGUGAUUUCUGCUCAGUGUUGUGAAUGUCAAUGUGAUGAAAUUCUAUCAAGCGCUGGUUAACGGCGGACGUAACUAUGACGUGAAAAUUUUAAGUACAGCUGGGUUUUGGAGGGGCAGGCUGCUUCCUCUGAAAAUUAUCAAUUAGUUUUUGAGUGACGGAGU
rnacentral:ncRNA from 1 species